UGGGGAAUUUUGGACAAUGGGCGCAAGCCUGAUCCAGCAAUGCCGCGUGCAGGAAGAAGGCCUUCGGGUUGUAAACUGCUUUUGUACGGAACGAAACGGCUCUGGUUAAUACCCGGGGCUAAUGACGGUACCGUAAGAAUAAGCACCGGCUAACUACGUGCCAGCAGCCGCGGUAAUACGUAGGGUGCAAGCGUUAAUCGGAAUUACUGGGCGUAAAGCGUGCGCAGGCGGUUUUGUAAGACAGGCGUGAAAUCCCCGGGCUCAACCUGGGAAUGGCGCUUGUGACUGCAAAGCUGGAGUGCGGCAGAGGGGGAUGGAAUUCCGCGUGUAGCAGUGAAAUGCGUAGAUAUGCGGAGGAACACCGAUGGCGAAGGCAAUCCCCUGGGCCUGCACUGACGCUCAUGCACGAAAGCGUGGGGAGCAAACAGGAUUAGAUACCCUGGUAGUCCACGCCCUAAACGAUGUCAACUGGUUGUUGGGUCUCUUCUGACUCAGUAACGAAGCUAACGCGUGAAGUUGACCGCCUGGGGAGUACGGCCGCAAGGUUG
rnacentral:rRNA from 1 species